AACGGGAGGGGCGAGCGUUAUUCAACUUGACUGGGCGUAAAGGGCAACUAGACGGUUUUUUAAGUUUCGGGUUAAAGGCUAGAGCUCAACUUUAGAGGAGCCCGUUAUCACUGGAAGACUUGAGUUUGGUAGAGGAUGGCAGUACACGCGGUGUAGGGGUGACAUCCUAAAAUAUCGCGGGGACUAUCAAUGGCGAAGGCAGCUAUCUGGGCCAAACUGACGUUGAAUGGCAAAAGCGUGGGGAGCAAACAGG
rnacentral:misc_RNA from 1 species